GCAACAACUUCUAAUCAAUAAAGUUGUAGGAUAUGAUAUAAUUUUCAUGAAGAAUGUACUGAAUUCUCCAGGCUACUUGUAUAAUUACCAGGCACAAGCCUUCUACAAUCUUACAUAUGUACAACAACAAGAAAGGUCACAAAGGUUUGGAGACUUUUGAAUGAAAAGAGAACCCUCUUCAAGAGUACCUUCAAUGGGCUGAAAUUCUUGAAAAGGCGAUUGUCAAACAUGAUAGAGGUGCACAUUCUUCUGUCUAUUGUUGUAUAUGACUAAACCUAUGUUUAAAAUUUCUAAUUUAACUUAUAACUUUAAUUAUUUUUUAACUUUUCCUUACAACUUUCCAACAUAAAUCUCAUAUAUUUUAGCUUAAUAUGUAUGCUGAAGCUCAAAAAUUCACCAUCAAAGAUGGUGCAAAAGAAUGCAUCAAAAAACAUUAUGUUUUCCAUGAAUCAGAAUCAAUAUGAACACUUGAAAUAAAGACCAAAAUUUAAAAGUAUCCAUCACCUAAAUUGAUCACAUUUGUUAGUGACAAGGACCUCCUGUCAUCUUAGCCCAGGCAAGUAUUCUUUUUUUUUUUUUUUAAUUUGUUAAAUAUUUUUUAGUAUUUCUUAGAAUACAUCAUGAUAAAAUUGGUUUUAGCAGAGCACAAAGUUUCAAAUGACUUCAUUUAUUUUGCUUAAAAAAGACAUAUUUUGUCUUUUUAGUCAAACAUAUUUACCGUUAUUAUCUUUUACUACAGUCUCAUAGCUAUCAGUCUAAUGUGCCUAUUCGUACGUAUCUGGUAGCCAUGUAUGUAGGGGUAGAAUCGGUAAUUUGACAGCAAGAGGAGGAUUUUUUUUAAAUAAAUAAAGCAAGACCUUCCCUGAGUCGCCUAUAGUAAGGAGUUUCUUUUCCAACAGGCGAGAGAAAUCAUUGCAGUGUUGGAUAUUGAUGUACUAUUUUACUCUUUCCCAAGAAAUGACCAGACUCUUCGGCCCCAAGUUAGCCAGAUGCAAGUUCACCAUCAAAAGAUGCUUUACUUGAAGAGACUUGCAAAAAGUAUGAUUAAGCAACCUCUUUAAACCCUAGACUUCAUGGUGUAUGCAUUUCCAGUCCCUAUAUUUUAAUCAAGCUGUAUGAUAUUUUUACUAAAAUGAUUGAUUUGUAUGAUUAUAUAUCUAUUGCCAUAUCUGAUCCAGAAUUGUGGAAGCAGGUUUUAGACCUUUACAUUAUAUUAAUGAUUUUUCUUCCAUUU